UCUUAUGGCUGAGCAAAGAAAGUGGUUUCUUGAGAUGGAAUCUACUCUUGGUCAAGAGGCUGUGAA
rnacentral:pre_miRNA from 1 species